UGAAUACGAGAUGCUACGGCGUCGAAGCAGUCUAUGUCAUACUUCCAAGAAAAGCUCGCACUGUCAUAAACAAAUAAUGCCUGUACCAUAACCGACACAGGUGGGUAGGUAGAGUAUACUAAGGGGCGCGAGAUAACUCUCUCUAAGGAACUCGGCAAAAUGACUCCGUAACUUCGGGAGAAGGAGUGCCUUAUUUAUAAGGUUGCAAUAACAAGAUCCAAGCAACUGUUUAUCAAAAACACAGGUCUCCGCUAAGUCGUAAGACGAUGUAUGGGGGCUGACGCCUGCCCAGUGCCAGAAGGUUAAAGAAGUUGGUUAGCAUUCGCGAAGCUGAUAACUGAAGCCCUGGUGAACGGCGGCCGUAACGAUAACGGUCCUAAGGUAGCGAAAUUCCUUGUCGGGUAAGUUCCGACCCGCACGAAAGGCGUAAUGAUUUGGAUACUGUCUCGGAGAGGGGCUCGGUGAAAUAGACUUGUCUGUGAAGAUGCGGACUACCUGCACCAGGACAGAAAGACCCUAUGAAGCUUUACUGUAACUUGAGAUUGAAAUUGGACUUUACUUGCGCAGUAUAGGUGGGAGGCGUUGAUAAUAUUCUUGCGGGAUUAUUUGAGCCAUCAGUGAGAUACCACUCUUGUAAUGUUAGAUUUCUAACUUUGUAUCAUUAUCUGGUCAAAGGACAGUUUCAGGCGGGCAGUUUGACUGGGGCGGUCGCCUCCUAAACGGUAACGGAGGCGCACAAAGGUUUCCUCUGAACGGGUAGAAAUCGUAUCUAGAGUGUAAAGGCAUAAGGAAGCUUGACUGUGAGACCUACAAGUCGAGCAGGGACGAAAGUCGGUCUUAGUGAUCUGACGGUGCUGAGUGGAAAGGCCGUCACUCAACGGAUAAAAGUUACUCUAAGGAUAACAGGCUGAUCUCCCCCAAGAGUUCACAUCGACGGGGAGGUUUGGCACCUCGAUGUCGGCUCAUCGCAUCCUGGGGCGGUAGUACGUCCCAAGGGUUGGGCUGUUCGCCCAUGAAAGCGGUACGCGAGCUGGGUUCAGAACGUCGUGAGACAGUUCGGUCCAUAUCCGGUGUAGGCGUUAGAAUAUUGAGAGGAGCCUUCUUUAGUACGAGAGGACCGAGAAGGACAUACCUCUGGUGUACCAGUUAUCGUGCCAACGGUAAACGCUGGGUAGCUAUGUAUGGAGUGGAUAACCGCUGAAAGCAUCUAAGUGGGAAGCCCACCUCAAGAUAAGUAUUCUCAUU
rnacentral:rRNA from 1 species